CUGGGGAAAGCAGGAGUGAGGGUCUGCACCCCAGUAAGCCUCGUUCUGCUUUCCCCACAG
rnacentral:pre_miRNA from 1 species